rnacentral:rRNA from 1 species
AGUGAACGCUGGCGGCGUGCUUAACACAUGCAAGUCGAACGAGAACGGAUUAUAGCUUGCUAUAAUUGUCAGCUAAGUGGCGCACGGGUGAGUAAUAUAUAGAUAACCUGCCCUCUAGAAAGGAAUAACAGUUGGAAACGACUGCUAAUGCCCUAUAUGCCUUUAAUACAUAAGUAUGCAAGGGAAACGCUUUAGUGCUAGAGGAUGGGUCUGUAUGGUAUCAGCUUGUUGGUGAGGUAAUGGCUCACCAAGGCUAUGACGCCUAACUGGUUUGAGAGGAUGAUCAGUCACACUGGAACUGAGACACGGUCCAGACUCCUACGGGAGGCAGCAGUGGGGAAUAUUGCACAAUGGACGAAAGUCUGAUGCAGCAACGCCGCGUGGAGGAUGACACAUUUCGGUGCGUAAACUCCUUUUAUAUAGGAAGAUAAAUGAACGGUACUAAUAUGAAUAAGCACCGGCUAACUCCG